CCCCUACUUGUUAGUUGCCAUCAUUCAGUUGGGCGACUCUAGCGGAGACGUGCCGGUAAGUAAACCGGAGGAAGGUGGGGAGUGACGUCAAAUCAUCAUGCCCUAUGACCUGGGCUACACACGUGCUACAAUGGUUGGUACAACGAGUUGCGAGUCGGUGACGGCGAGCUAAUCUCUUAAAGCCAAUCUCAGUUCGGAUUGUAGGCUGCAACUCGCCUACAUGAAGUCGGAAUCGCUAGUAACCGCGGAUCAGCACGCCGCGGUGAAUACGUUCCCGGGCCUU
rnacentral:rRNA from 1 species